UACAUAGGGAGCGAGCGUUAUCCGGAUUUAUUGGGUGUAAAGGGUGCGUAGACGGGAAUUUAAGUUGGUUGUGAAAUCCCUCGGCUCAACUGAGGAACUGCAACCAAAACUGGAUUUCUUGAGUGCUGGAGAGGAAAGUGGAAUUCCUAGUGUAGCGGUGAAAUGCGUAGAUAUUAGGAGGAACACCAGUGGCGAAGGCGACUUUCUGGACUGUAACUGACGUUGAGGCACGAAAGUGUGGGGAGCAA
rnacentral:rRNA from 1 species